UACGAAGGGGGCUAGCGUUGUUCGGAUUUACUGGGCGUAAAGCGUGCGUAGGCGGCUUGUCAAGUCAGAAGUGAAAGCCCGGGGCUCAACUCCGGAACUGCUUUUGAGACUGGCAGGCUUGAGUUCGGGAGAGGGUAGUGGAAUUCCCAGUGUAGAGGUGAAAUUCGUAGAUAUUGGGAAGAACACCGGUGGCGAAGGCG
rnacentral:rRNA from 1 species